rnacentral:tRNA from 1 species
GGACUAUAGCUCAGUGGUAGAGCACUUGCCUUGCACGUUGAGGCACUGGGUUCGAUCCUCAGCACCA